UACGGGGGGGGCAAGCGUUGUUCGGAAUUACUGGGCGUAAAGGGCUCGUAGGCGGCCAACUAAGUCAUACGUGAAAUCCCUCGGCUUAACCGGGGAACUGCGUCUGAUACUGGAUGGCUUGAGAUUGGGAGAGGGAUGCGGAAUUCCAGGUGUAGCGGUGAAAUGCGUAGAUAUCUGGAGGAACACCGGUGGCGAAGGCGGCAUCCUGGACCAACACUGACGCUGAGGAGCGAAAGCCAGGGGAGCGAACGGG
rnacentral:rRNA from 1 species